rnacentral:rRNA from 1 species
UACGAAGGGGGCUAGCGUUGCUCGGAAUUAUUGGGCGUAAAGCGCACGUAGGCGGCUUGGCAAGUCGGAUGUGAAAUCCCUCGGCUCAACCAAGGAAGUGCAUCCGAAACUGCUGAGCUUGAGUACGAAAGAGGAUCGCGGAAUUCCCGGUGUAGAGGUGAAAUUCGUAGAUAUCGGGAGGAACACCAGUGGCGAAGGCGGCGAUCUGGGUCGAUACUGACGCUGAGGUGCGAAAGCGUGGGGAGCAAACAGG